GAUGAACGCUGGCGGCGUGCCUAAUACAUGCAAGUCGAGCGAACGGACGAGAAGCUUGCUUCUCUGAUGUUAGCGGCGGACGGGUGAGUAACACGUGGAUAACCUACCUAUAAGACUGGGAUAACUUCGGGAAACCGUAGCUAAUACCGGAUAAUAUUUUGAACCGCAUGGUUCAAAAGUGAAAGACGGUCUUGCUGUCACUUAUAGAUGGAUCCGCGCUGCAUUAGCUAGUUGGUAAGGUAACGGCUUACCAAGGCAACGAUGCAUAGCCGACCUGAGAGGGUGAUCGGCCACACUGGAACUGAGACACGGUCCAGACUCCUGCGGGAGGCAGCAGUAGGGAAUCUUACGCAAUGGGCGAAAGCCUGACGGAGCAACGCCGCGUGAGUGAUGAAGGUCUUCGGAUCGUAAAACUCUGUUAUUAGAGAAGAACAUAUGUGUAAGUAACUGUGCACAUCUUGACGGUACCUAAUCAGAAAGCCACGGCUAACUACGUG
rnacentral:rRNA from 1 species